UCUAUACCCUCUAUACUCCAUAACAGUUUAUUAUCAUUUUUUUUCUUCGGUUUAUUUUUAAUAUAUUCCCUAGUCAAUUGUAUUUUUUUUUUUUUUAUAAUUAUUGAAGAUCUUGAUUAGUAUUCUCGCUCUACGAUAAGAGAUUUUACCUCAGCGUGUGUCAAACAUUUCUACUACUAGCAAAUACAGAUGAUUAUUAUUACUGUUAUUAUUAUUGUUAACAUGUAUUCGUUUUUUUUUUUACGUCAGUCACUCAAAAUAAGAUAACGAUGAAAUAAAAGAUUUUUUUUUUUGUAAGUACAUAUUACGUUUUGUUAUUUUGUCAAUUUGUAGUAUUUUUAGCAGCAUCUCGGAACUUUUUAUCAUUUAAAUUAAAUAUUAUUCAGACCACUGUGCGUUGGAAUCGAAAAUAAACCGUUUAUCCGACUAUUAUGUACAUUAUUGUUCGCGGAAUCGAUAGAAUAUGACGCGUAAUCGUUUGGAAAAGAUUUACCGAACCUAACCUAACCUUAAUAUUAUAAAAUAGAAUAAAUAAAAAUAAACAAUAAUUAAUAAUUAUUUUCGAGAAUAUUAGGUAUAUGCAUUUUUCGCUGUAGCGAUAACAACUAGUGCGUUCGGACACAAACGUCUUAUCGUUGCCUGUCUCGCUAAUAAAUAAUUAGGUAAUUAAAAAAAAAACGACUGUCCUAACGUUCUCGUGAUAAAACCGAAACGAUUAUUUCCGCGGCCGAAACAAAUAAAGGGUACUCAAUGGUUGGAACAGUGAAGUGUUCUCGAUUAUAAAUCAAGUGUGUCCUGUGUCCCUGCCGAGUAAAAAUUUGUACCUCGCGUGUUCCUAUAAUAAUUAGUAGACGACCUUGCUGAAUGACAAAUGUAUACGUUUCGAGGGUCACGUAGGCGAUUAAAUAUUUUAUCUUAUUAUCUUAGCGAACCGACGGGACGAGUUUCCGAUUUUGUUGACAUGAUCAGACAUUAUUUAUUAUUUAUAAACAUAUUUUGUAUUCAGAAUUAAUAGCAAACAUUAACGACGCGCGGUGACGAAAAAUCGUAAGCUCAUCUUGUCUCCAAUAUGAUCGCCAAAUAUCUUAAAACAUUUCCGAUAAAAUACCAUAAUAUUGAAAACAAUAAUAUUAUUAUUUGAUAUUUCCCGUUUAUGAAUAGGUACUAAAGGGGUUUAUUUGCAUUUGACGUUAUCGUGACGGGAAAAAUAAGCUGCGUAUUAAUUGAUAUCUUAUCAAAAAACUAAAUUAUAAAUAACAUGACUGAAAGUGAUUAAAUUAAUUUCCUUUUUUUCUGCGAAAAGUAGCGGAAU